UCAAAUUUGCAGGCAGACUACUUAAUAAGCAAUAAAUAGUUUUCACUGAAACAUGAUAAAUGAUGUAAUGAUCCUUCCUUUUAUUACACCACCUACUCCCACUUAGUCAACAACUGUUUGAAAGGUCUUUCACUACAAUAGCACUGUCAUUUAAAUACACAGCAGGCCAAGCAGAUCAGAUUUUCAACCAUGAAAGAGCACCCUGUGCACAAUAUGUUGCACUCAGACUGCAGAGUGCUGCCACUGAUAGGAUGCGUCUCAAUGCAAAUGACAUAAUGUGCUAAAAGAAGGAGAUGAUGUAAUGCAAAUGUCAGAAGAGGCGUCCUUUUCCAAGUCAGACUGCAGCAUUUCAAAUACUCUGCAAGCUGCAAAAGUAGGUUAUGCACAAAAUAAAAAAAAAAGCUUCAUUAGCCACCCUUUACCUCGACUCGGGAGAAUUUUCUCCUUCAAAAGGAAAGCAAUCAAAUGCAAGGGACUUUGAAGAAUUUGCCUGUAAUUACUUGCUACAUUCUAGUCAUGGAGCCUGAGAUCUGUGAGUCAGGAUUCAAAUUUGAUAAAUUCCCCUAUCCCCUGACUUGCUCGAUCGGAGUACCCUGCCAAGGAAUGAUUUCAGCUCUAAUCUGCUGGUAGAGGGAUCAU